UAUGCUUUGGGGAGCUGUAAGUAAGCUUUGAUCCAGAGAUUUCCGAAUGGGGAAACCCAGCACGAGUUAUGUCGUGUUAUCUGCAUGUGAAUACAUAGCAUGCAAGAAGGCAGACCCGGAGAACUGAAACAUCUUAGUACCCGGAGGAAGAGAAAGAAAAAUCGAUUCCCUGAGUAGCGGCGAGCGAAACGGGAAGAGCCCAAACCAAUAAGCUUGCUUAUUGGGGUUGUAGGACACUCUGUACGGAGUUACAAAAGAAUUUGUUAGACGAAUAACCUGGAAAGGUUAAUCAGAGAAGGUAAUAAUCCUGUAGUCGAAAACGAAUUCUCUCUUGAGUGGAUCCUGAGUACGACGGAGCACGUGAAAUUCCGUCGGAAUCUGGGAGGACCAUCUCCUAAGGCUAAAUACUCUCUAGUGACCGAUAGUGAACCAGUACCGUGAGGGAAAGGUGAAAAGUACCCCGGAAGGGGAGUGAAAGAGAACUUGAAACCGUGUGCUUACAAGUAGUCAGAGCCCGUUAAUGGGUGAUGGCGUGCCUUUUGUAGAAUGAACCGGCGAGUUACGAUCUGAUGCAAGGUUAAGCAGAAAAUGUGGAGCCGUAGCGAAAGCGAGUCUGAAUAGGGCGAAUGAGUAUUUGGUCGUAGACCCGAAACCAGGUGAUCUACCCUUGGUCAGGUUGAAGUUCAGGUAACACUGAAUGGAGGACCGAACCGACUUACGUUGAAAAGUGAGCGGAUGAACUGAGGGUAGCGGAGAAAUUCCAAUCGAACUUGGAGAUAGCUGGUUCUCUCCGAAAUAGCUUUAGGGCUAGCCUCAAGUGAUGAUUAUUGGAGGUAGAGCACUGUUUGGACGAGGGGCCCCUCUCGGGUUACCGAAUUCAGACAAACUCCGAAUGCCAAAUAAUUUAACUUGGGAGUCAGAAUGUGGGUGAUAAGGUCCAUAUUCGAAAGGGAAACAGCCCAGACCACCAGCUAAGGUCCCAAAAUAUAUGUUAAGUGGAAAAGGAUGUGGCGUUGCCCAGACAACUAGGAUGUUGGCUUAGAAGCAGCCAUCAUUUAAAGAGUGCGUAAUAGCUCACUAGUCGAGUGACACUGCGCCGAAAAUGUACCGGGGCUAAACAUAUUACCGAAGCUGUGGAUUGUCCUUUGGACAAUGGUAGGAGAGCGUUCUAAGGGCGUUGAAGCAUGAUCGCAAGGACAUGUGGAGCGCUUAGAAGUGAGAAUGCCGGUGUGAGUAGCGAAAGACGGGUGAGAAUCCCGUCCACCGAUUGACUAAGGUUUCCAGAGGAAGGCUCGUCCGCUCUGGGUUAGUCGGGUCCUAAGCUGAGGCCGACAGGCGUAGGCGAUGGAUAACAGGUUGAUAUUCCUGUACCACCAUUAUUCGUUUUAAGCGAUGGGGGGACGCAGUAGGAUAGGCGAAGCGUGCUGUUGGAGUGCACGUCCAAGCAGUGAGAUUGAGUGUUAGGCAAAUCCGGCACUCUUAAGAUUGAGCUGUGAUGGGGAGAGGAACUUGUUCCUCGAGUCGUUGAUUUCACACUGCCGAGAAAAGCCUCUAGCUAGAAUAACGGUGCCCGUACCGCAAACCGACACAGGUAGUCAAGAUGAGAAUUCUAAGGUGAGCGAGCGAACUCUCGUUAAGGAACUCGGCAAAAUGACCCCGUAACUUCGGGAGAAGGGGUGCUCUUUGAGGUUCACGCUUCGAAGAGCCGCAGUGAAUAGGCCCAAGCGACUGUUUAUCAAAAACACAGGUCUCUGCUAAACCGUAAGGUGACGUAUAGGGGCUGACGCCUGCCCGGUGCUGGAAGGUUAAGAGGAGUGGUUAGCGCAAGCGAAGCUACGAAUCGAAGCCCCAGUAAACGGCGGCCGUAACUAUAACGGUCCUAAGGUAGCGAAAUUCCUUGUCGGGUAAGUUCCGACCCGCACGAAAGGCGUAACGAUUUGGGCACUGUCUCAACGAGAGACUCGGUGAAAUCAUAGUACCGGUGAAGAUGCCGGUUACCCGCGACAGGACGGAAAGACCCCGUGGAGCUUUACUGUAGCCUGAUAUUGAAAUUCGGUACAG
rnacentral:rRNA from 1 species